rnacentral:rRNA from 1 species
UGCAGUUGAGCGAAUGACGAGGAGCUUGCGUCCUCUGAUUUAGCGGCGGACGGGUGAGUAACACGUGGGCACCGGCCCUGUAGAUUGGGAUAACUUCGGGAAACCGGAGCUAAUACCGGAUAAUCCAUCUUCACUCAUGUGGAGAUGCUGAAAGGCGCUUUCGCGUCACUGCCGGAUGGGCCCGCGGUGCAUUAGCGAGUUGGUGGGGUAACGGGCUACCCAGGCGACGAUGCAUAGGCGACCUGAGAGGGUGAUCGGCCACAUUGGGACUGAGCCAGGACCAAAACUUUAAAAAGAGGCAGCAGUAGGGAAUCUUCCACAAUGGACGAAAGUCUGAUGGAGCAACGCCGCGUGAGUGAUGAAGGUUUUCGGAUCGUAAAACUCUGUUGUAAGGGAAGAACAAGUACGUUAGGAAAUGAACGUACCUUGACGGUACCUUAUUAGAAAGCCACGGCUAACUACGUGCCAGCAGCCGCGGUAAUACGUAGGUGGCAAGCGUUGUCCGGAUUUAUUGGGCGUAAAGCGCGCGCAGGCGGUUUCUUAAGUCUGAUGUGAAAGCCCACGGCUUCACCGUGGAGGGUCAUUGGAAACUGGGAGACUUGAGUGCAGAAGAGGAAAGUGGAAUUCCAAGUGUAGCGGUGAAAUGCGUA